UGGGGAAUAUUGGACAAUGGGGGCAACCCUGAUCCAGCGAUGCCGCGUGUGUGAAGAAGGCCUACGGGUUGUAAAGCACUUUCGGUGGGGAGGAGGACUUGAAGGUUAAGAGCUGUCAAGUUGGACGUUACCCACAAAAGAAGCACCGGCUAACUCCGUGCCAGCAGCCGCGGUAAUACGGAGGGUGCGAGCGUUAAUCGGAAUUACUGGGCGUAAAGGGUGCGUAGGCGGUUUAAUAAGUUAAGUGUGAAAGUCCUGGGCUUAACCUGGGGAAGUCACUUAAGACUGUUAGACUGGAGUAUGGGAGAGGGUAGUGGAAUUUCCGGUGUAGCGGUGAAAUGCGUAGAGAUCGGAAGGAACACCAGUGGCGAAGGCGGCUACCUGGCCCAAUACUGACGCUGAGGCACGAAAGCGUGGGGAGCAAACAGG
rnacentral:rRNA from 1 species